CGGAACCCCUGUUUCGACCCGAACAAAAAGGACCUGACCCACCGAACCCAUCCGCCCGAGCCAGACCAGACCAGACCAGAACAAACCUAGGUCGCCGCGCUCCGCCGCCCUCCACCACCGGCGACAUCUCCUCCCAAGAAGGCGAAGAGAAGCGGUAGAGAUCGGCCAAGAGGAGCGAGGGGGACUCGCGCAACGCGCGGGACGAGACGAGGCCACCGGCUGGCUCCUUGAUGCGCCACCGCCAGUUCCUCGACAGCCCUCAACGCCGGUGUCCCUCCUCCAGCAAGCUGGGCUUCUCCCUUGGAGACACUGAGGCGACGACGACGGCGGCACAUCGAUCCAGGCGAUGGCGCUGUAACGAACCAUCUUCUGUGUCCGCCCCCUCCCUCUACCGCCCACUGCUGCAAGACAAACCCUUAUUCUUCGAGCCGGUGCGACUAGCACAUGAGAGAAUUGAUUUCUCAUGCAAUAUCCCCUGAAGAUUGUAUUGGUGUUGUAGUAGCAUGGCAUCAGAAUUCAGAACAUGUGUGAAGUAUGUAUCUGUGACACAUUGCACUUUGUCAUAACACCACAUAUGCAUAUACUGGCAUUCUCUUGCUCUUAGUAAAAUGCAUUCAGGCAUGCAAUCAACCACUACCAUACGGAUCACUGUUAAUCACCAUAGCAGCAAGCGCCAUCUGAGAAUUCAUGUUCAUGUGUGUUUCUACAGUGUUGUUGCUUCUCAAAUUACUAGAUAUUCAGCAUAGAUUUGUGUAUCAGUGGAGCUUUCCUAGUUGUUCUUCUUUGGUGAAAUGUACUGCUGGUCUCUAAUCCGUCAUGCACAAUGCAGAGAAAUCUGCUACAAACUAUUCAAUUAUUAUUUUAAAAACACACUACUUGUUCCUUGUAAAAAUCAUGUUAUACAUUUUGUAUGACAAUCAAUUUUCUGAACUGUCUGAAUAAUUAUUGUUUGGACAUGAGGAUCAGAUCACCCCCUUUUCUAGGCUUUUGUUUUGUGAUCUUGUCUGAUUACUUUCUCUUAUAUGGCCACAGGUUGAUGAUCUGUAUUCUACUGUAACUGGUGUGGCGAUUGAUGGUCUAUGGUGCUUGUUAUUAAUAAUUGGAUUAGUCCAAGUUGUCUGGUGGCAAUUAAGUUUGGUCCAAGGAACUUGGUCUUCUGUUGCUGUUGCACCCCUAGGCUUAGAUAGAUAUAUACACACAUCAUUAUGUUUUGCCAUCUGAAUGAAAGCUAAAACUGACACUAGCUAGCUAGUAAAAAAAUGCUGGUUCUAUUUUUGAGAAUCAGUUCAAACUGCUAGUAGCCUAUACCCAUGGUUAUGUAGCCUGUAGUUGCCAUGCCUCAAAUAGUAUGUUAAUCUAUGUUUUUAAAGCGGUAAAGCGAAGCGAGGCGCUGGGGGGGCGCCUCACUGCUUAAGCGGUAAAGCAUAAAGCGAGGCGACGCUUUAGACUGAUCUGAAGCUAAUGGGCAGUAGGAAUUUAGGAUAGAUAACCAUAGUAAGAUACUGAUUCAUAGACACAACAAACUAGACUAAAGUACUGGACUACUAGUCUACUACUAGAAUAGCACUGGUGUGCCAGAGGAGGAGGGGAGGAGCUGCAGCCGGAGAGGAGGAGGGGGAGGAGUUGUGGCCGGAGAGGAGGAAGCUGGUCCAGAUCUGGAGAGGGAGCUGCUGCUAGAGGAGAGAGGAGAGAGCCAGAGGAGUGGUGGGGGAGGAGCAGGAGCUGCACGUUUUGGUCCCUCUUUUCCCUCCUCUUACUAUUCACAUGUGAGCCCAGUUUCCCGCCCUUUUGUUCCUGCCCAGACCAGCUUUCCCGCCUAAAAACUGUGUUCCCCUGCCUGGCAUGUCUAAAGCGUCCUGUAUGUGCUAAAGCGCCCUCCAGGACGCCUAAGCGGACGUUUCAGACGCUCUAAACUCUAAAGCGGACGCCUUAGACACAGAGCUAAAGCGACUUGGACGCCUUGAGCCUCGAGGGCGCUCUGACGCUAAAGCGUCGCUUAAGCGACGCUUUAGCGACGCUUUACAAACAGAGAUGUUAAUACAUACCUAUGGCCCAUGGCAGUGCCACCAUUGCUCUCAUAGGUGGUUACUUGGUCCUGCAGCCACAUUCCUAUCCUACAUGAACGGUGGCAGAGGACCUUCUCCUUGAACCAAACACUUUUUGCUCCUUAAUUGGAGAUGAACUAGCUGCGGAAUAUUUACAGAAGAAGGUUACUACACUGCAAGAUAAGAACUUGCAACAUGAUAUACUCCCUCUGGUUGGGUUUAUAAGUCUGGCACGGGUUUUUAGUUGACUAGCAAAAUAUGUGCUAUAUUUCACCAAAAAAAACAUUAGAUUAGUUUCUAAGCAUAUAUAUUUUGUGGCAUAUUACAAAUGUUUUUCUUAGUCAAAUCGAAGACCUAAAAAUCCGUGCCCGACUUAUAUACCCAUCAUAUGAAUUGCAUCUCAGGAAAGAGAUACAAUGAAUCAUCAUUAAGAGAAGACUAUCGGAAAGGGAAAUAAAAAUCAGCUAGGCCAUUAAUGAAUCCAAUUGCAGAGCAGUGAAUUGUGCAGCAGCACCCCUGCCUGCUUGGUAGUUCCGUAAAAUAUAUUAUAUAUUGAUGUUGUAACUGCAGAACAAGGAUAUUAGUUAGUGCUAUGUUGGAAACAAGAUCACUUGCAUAGCCUAAGAAAUGUAAACACUUGAACUAGCUACGCGAACCAGUACCUGAACACAUGAUUUUUAUUUCCUUGAAAAGAAAAGUUAGUAUAGUCACACAAGAUGUAUAUUGUACUAGAUUGUAUGGACACGGUGAAGGAUGGGCUUUGCCUUGUGCAACAAGAUCACUGGAAACAUAAUUGUAACAUAUUUUGCUUCCUUCAACAAACGUUCAUCUUUUCAAUACUGAAAUAGACUUACAAGACAAAAUUAACAUAUGGCUACUGAUUUAACAGUUUGUGCUGUUGCGCAGAAGGUUGAUCUUCCUGUGGAUCUGAGUGCUGCAAACCUGAAGCUGCUUGAACAUAAUGUUACCUCUAACCUGGGAGUAAAGCACACAAUAUAGCUUCAUUUUCACUCUGCAGGACACAAAACACUACAAACUUGUAUCUGCGAGCUUCAUGCUAAAGUUGAGAACCACUGGAGGAUGAAUGCUAGCACCUUGAUAGCUUAACAUACCUGACCAGUCACUACCCAGCUUGGAUGGAAGAUUUUUUUGUUGUUGUUGAAAAGGAUGGAAGAUAAUGCUCUUCGUUGUUGUUAUCUACCUUCUUCCCUACUAUGUACACAUGUCCUUAAAGAUGUAAACUCAGAUUCAAAUAUAAUUAUGUGAUUUGCUUUAUGAA